UACCCAGAAGCAGAGAGGAGCCUCCACAGAUCAGCACUCAGAUAAUUUUCCUUUCAUAUUUUCCUUCUCCUUAACUGCCUUUUAUUCUCUUAAUUUUUCCUUUUACUCUUCCAGCUGUUACCUUUCCGUCUUCUGUCCAUAUCAUCCACCAUAGCAGAAAAUCCUUUUGAAAUUAGACACAGCUCCUGGAAUCAACCCAGACACUGCUUUUCAAGCCAGAAGCAUUUGUAUAAGCAUCAUCAAUCAUGCCACUGACUCUUAUUGCUACUGUAUAUUCACUUUCUACCUGGUUGGAAUUCCUAAUUGGCCCCGCUGAGCAACUUAAAGCCCUGAAGAAAGUGGUGGAAGGGAGGUGGGGGAGAGCGUGACUUUCCAGCUGGGACUGGGAGGUUUUCUUGCAAAUUACACUGAUAAAGUCUGUUUCCUGGAGAAAACAGACAAGAAGCAGUUGGUAACAGGGUGAGUAAGAGUCGGAUGCUAUGGGGUAAGAUGUACAAAAGUAUGUACAACUGGCUCCAUUAUCAUCUGAGCAGUUGGCCUGGCAGCUGCCUACAUCAUGAGUUUCAGACUCGUGUACUGUAAUGCAAACACACGAGGAGUCAUUUGGACAGGAAUAAAGCAGAUAAUUCAAGAGAAGGCUGUUUUUCUGAUUUAAGUGCAGAAGAAGCUCUGCAAAAAUGCAGGUGAUUUUCUGUGCUGUCUAGAGCAGGAUUUCUCUUUCUCUGCUUAGGGAACCACUGAUGUUCUCCCCAUCUCUAGCUCUCAUUUAUAGCAAUCUCUUUAUAUCUUUCUUACAUUUAGGUUCUCUCAAGCUGCCUAAAGCAAUGCUAAUUGUGUGGGAGCGCCCUCAUGGACUGGUGACCCAGGACAGGGUGAUGGGUCUGGGCUGUGCCAGGGAAAGGGCUGCCCCACAGGCAGUGAUGGUGGGUCAGAUCCCUGCACAGCCUCAGGUGCAGCUAACACAGAAGGGGAUUGGAGCUAUUUCUCCUUCUCAGGUGCAUAGUAAGCAUGAAUAGGAGUUGCAUAUGCAUACAGUACAUUUAUUUCAUUGCUUUGCAUCCCCUACUGUCCCCCACCCUAUUCCCACCAAGCAGUCCCACAUGCUGCUGAAAGCCAGGGCAGCUGUCCUCAUCUAUCAAAGCCUGUCAGCUUGAGAGCAUAGGCUCUUCCCAUUAAUUAAGCAAAUGUAAUGUGAUUAGCUAAGGCUGUAAAUGUUUCUAGGCCCAUUAGAAAGCUACAAAACACCAAGCAUCACAGCCUCUCUUUUUCAUACACUUGUGCUAUGUGGGAUGCUCCUCUGGGGCUGAGACUUUUGUUCUUAAGUUUUUUUGUGUGAGAGAAAAUAGGAACAUGUAAUGGAAAGGGUCAUGUAGUUCUUAAAUUGCUGUUUGAGUUAUAGGAACCUGAAGAAGAAAUUAGUUUCUGCACUUUCAAAAAACUUUUGCCUACACGUUUUUUUAAAUGGAUGUAACAAGAACUGCUGAAAGCUGAAAUUUUGGUAAGAGCCUAUAGACCUCAUUUAAAUUUUCUGCUUGAUUUGAUGAAAAAUAUAUACUACUUAGCAACUAAGGAUCUAAAUGAGAGUGCUUUAGGUUGUCAGCCUGAAAGCAAAUGGAACAGUCAGUGGGAAUAAGAAAACAGAAUAUGAAAAUUCUUGAAUUAAAUUUCAGUGUUAUGAACUAGAUCUACUUAAGGACUUAAACCUAAAGUGGGAUGGAGGUGCCUAAAUCUAAUACUGUGAUGCUGCAAAACUUUUGACAGACUUUCAGCAUAUGUAAACUCCAAAGGUGCUCCCCAGAUGUUAACAGUCAUUUUGAUCUUUGGGUUGCAGAAGUGUUCCCUUCUCAUCCGGGCUGAGCUGCCCAGCGUGUCACGUGCAUCUGCAGCUCUUUGGGAUACAAAAAUUUAGCAUUUCUUUCCCUAAUUCCCCUCAUAGGCUCAGCCUGGUAGGCAUGCACUAAGAAUACCUCAGACAAAAGGGCUGUGCCUAUCCAGGCAGCUUAGGCCACUCUUGAGCUCCUAAAAGGACUUCCUAGAGCUUGCAUCCCCACAUGGUUUGCAGCAAGUCCAGUGCUUUAUGUCUCACCCUCUGCAGGUUCUGUGCCAGCAGUCAAGAUCAAAGUCUUGGCGCAUCACAUACUUUCACGUGGAUGAAAAAAACAUUCAGGACUCAAAUCAUGAGAGUCAUUUCCUGAAGCCAAAUUAAUUGAAAUGAACCAUUCCACCAAGCCCUGACAUCCUCUCUGCAAUCUUUUUGAUUGACCCAAAUUCCCAACUUUGUUUCCAGAAAUCUGCUGGGGCUUUUUCUCCAUGAGAGAGGAAGAAGAUACCAGGUUCUUGCCUUGCCUGCCAUGAUGGUAAGUUCCUCUUCUACAAGACAAAAAGCACCAAAGAGCCUGAGGUAAGAAAGUUCUCCCUGCAAUCCCUAUCUCACUGCUCUUACAAACAUCCUGGGGGACAGAGGGAGGAAAAUGCUUCUUGAAAGCACUUUAACACCCUCCCUGAAAUGGGACAGCACUGCAAAGAGCUGCUGCUCUCACCAGGCAGAAGGGCCAACAGACAGCAUGUGGAAGGAUUUUCAUCAGUCCUACCUCACAGCCUGGUGCUUUCUGAGGAACUGGUACUCUGACGGCCCCAGCCUCUUCCCAGGAAGCACUUCUUACUGCUGAGACAGAAAUGGAAGAGGGAAGAGGGCCAUUGCUACAAUUAUCCUCUCAUCUAGAUGAAUGUAUGAUUAGAUGUGAGGUUUGCCCUUAUAGUGGGUCUCUGGUGCUUGAGACCAAGACUGGGCUCGAGUCCAAUCCCUGUUGAAACCUGUUCGUACAGGUGGAGCCACAAACCUGCCUGUGCCCUUCUCUUAUAAUGCGUAGCUGCAGUUGCUAGAAAGGCAGAAGCAAUGCCUCAUUUUGUAGAGUUUCCUAAUACUGGGAUCAGCAAGAAGCAGGAUCCAAAGAAGAUUCAAAGACCUCUCUCACCAAAAGAGUGUCUCACUGCAGGCUUGUAUGAAUUUUUGAGUACAGAAAUUUCCCAUCUCUCCUGAAGAAAAGCAGAAAAAAGCACUAUCAGACAUAUAUGGCCAAGGAGCACUUGCAGAAUAGGAUGCAAUGCUUGAGCUUUAUGUUUUGGAGCUUCACCUGUUAGUAUAAUUGAGAGGAAAUGGAUCUAUUGAAGCACUGCAGCAUCUCCUAGCAAUUGCUGCAGAUGUUUCAAACCCACCUAAGGGGCACAGGUUAUCUUUUUUUAUGCAGUUAGACUCAAGCCAUCAAAGGUGAUUCUAAUGACUGUAAGAUACCAAAACCUCUCCAGGACCCUAUGACUUACUAGCUUUCAAAGAAAAACAGGUUGUCAGUCUGAUUUCUGAGAGCAUGUCAGCACUGGAAGAGACAUAGGGAGACCUAAGUGGCACUCUGACAAGUUCUUAGGUACACAGGACUAGUGAAAACCAUGGAAGCCUAGUAAAUGGGAUAUUGUGACACUGUACUAGGUGUCACUCUCCUUCUCCAAGCAAGAUCCUCUGGAGUGUUACAAUGCCUUUUCAAAUCAGUGGUGGUGAGAUGGCUUAAUGCUUUCAGAAAACUGGCCUCCACCUUUCUCAGAAAUGGGAAUUUUUCCCUAUGAUUUAUGCUAUUGAGGUGUAGCCUCUAACAAUAAUAGUAGAAACCUAAAUAUUUUACUCAGAGGACCCAAAGAGCCUUUUUCAUACCUCAGUUUGAGGCUGGCAUUCAGUUAAUGUUGAUGUAAUGUCUCCUUUAAAAACACUGUAAUUAAAUUUGCCAACACAGUCACCAAAGAGCCAUUUAUAAAUUGUCUAUAUAGUUCCAAUUCAGCAUGUGCUUGUGACUAUUUCAUUGGGUUUAUCCUAACAUCACAAGCUAAUAAUACUGAAGACAGGGAAAUGGGUAAUUCACAGAGGACACGGUACUCUGUAUAUAGCUAACAGUGAUUAAGUAGUCUCUGCUUUCAGAAGAAAGAUAAGGGCAAAAAAGAAUAGGUCCCUCGAUAAUAUCAGGUAAUUCUUAUAUGUGGUUCUUCAUGACACAGGCAUAAAUCACAAUAAAACCCAUCUGCAGAUCUAAGGGGUGAAAUCAUAAAUCCUGCUUUAUAAAUGAAACCUGCACAUCUGAUAGUGUGCAUUGCUCCAGAUUUGUGGCAGCUGUAAAUGAUGUACUAAGGUUCACAAACCCAUUUGCACUCUCUGGCUGGGAAGAAGGGAGGUGAGAUUUUACCAGGGCAGAGAAUAUACUGGAAGAUACACUCGGCAAUGAGAGAGACCCUGAGCGUGUGCACGAAUGAGAAAUGGAUACUUUACACAGACUGUCAUAUCCUGACUUUAUACUUGGGUAUAAACCAAACUGGCCCCAGUUUCUCUAAAUCCAUGGCACUGUGUUAUGCCUCUCUGAUUGCUCCUGGGUCUGAUGGGGUAAAUGCAGGUGAUGGGGCCAAAUGCUCAGCUUUUGCUGGUCACUGGAGCAAACUGGACUCAAACAAAACAUUUCACGCUGGCCAGGAGCCUGUGUCCUUUUUCAGGCUGCAGCUUUGCAUGCCAGCUUCUGUCAGCAGCAGGCGAAAGACAAGUGGUCAUUUAAGCAAGUGCAGGGAUGGAUGAUACCAUAUUUUGGCUAGGUUACGGCCCACUUUCUGGAUGAAGUUGGCCAACUUGGUCAUCUGCUCCUUCUCCUCUGGGCAUUGGAAGAUACAUCUCCCCGGGACAAGCUCACCUUCCUGUCACCACAGAGCUGCCUGGCAUUUGUAACCCCUAUGCCCCUCUCGAGGCCACUCAUCAUUGCAUUCACAACAUGAAGCAUCUCCCAGGAGCUGCUCUCAGGAUGGCAGAUUUGGCUUUUUGGCUUACCCAGCUCCCUGUGUCACUGUAGCUCUCCCACGACUGCAUUUGGCAGUGCACAUACUUGUCUUUUCUGUUGUCAGCAUGAGACAGAUUAUUUCCCUAGUGCUCUUCUGUGGUUUGACAAUGCAAAAACACACGGCAGAGGCUGACUUGGCACAUUUUCUCAUAUGUGGUAUAUUGUUAUUUGGACCUGCUCUCCUCUGCACCGACUCCUCUGCAGGGGCUAACAAGGAGUAAAAUAUCUGCGCCUGUGCUUCCCUCACACACUGCUAAAGCUCAGCCAGUUAAACCGAGGCAUGAUUGAUUAUUUAAUUUGCAUUGUUGGGACUGGGACCUUGGAAACAUCAUGGGUGUCUUAAAACAUUUACAUUUCACAUUCAUUAGGAUGUUUUCCCAAUGGCACUCUCGGAGUUUGGCUUCGGACACCAGAGGAAGGUGGCUCUCCUCGCGCAGGCUUUCGCCACAAAAAAAGUCUUCUCUAACCUUCAUUUUUAGCAACUUCACUGUGAACUUCCAGUACACUUUGCAGCUGAGGUUAGUGGUUAGUGCAAUCCAGCAGUGCUAACUUCUCUCCCUGUUUUGGUAUUACUGCCACUCUAAACUUACAUUUUUAUAUAAUUGAGCCCAGCAGUGUUGCUUCUUUCAGAGCAGUUGCAGCUCCCAGGCGUGAGUUCUCUGUGUUUUCAAAUGUCAUCUAUGUAAAGUUCAGUACCUCCUGAACAAUCAAAUGCGUUGCUGUGUUUUCCUGUAAAAUGCCUCAGGGAAUGAAUGUAACCAAAAUGUCAGUCUGAGGAAGAAGUGUCUCCCAAAGAGUGAACAGAACAUUCAGAAAUACAGCCUUUGUUUCUCUGGGGGCACCUGCUAGGUAUCAGAUGAUAUACAUAAAGCUAUUUGCUAUCUGUCACCUCCCCAGAAAUCUUUCUUUUGAAGCUAAUAAAGACCUCUUUCUUUUAUUACAGAUUUCUUUUUUUUUUCAAUCAUACAUAAAUAUAGCAUUUCAGCUUUUUAGCAUAGCUCCCUAAGACAACUGUGUCCAUGCAGUCCCUCUGCCUGUUUCUCUGUCUGCCCAUGGUAAUCUGAAUUUCUUGUCCAUAUAAAUACAUUAGACAGACAAAUGGAGGCUUCCAAGAGAAAAAGUUUCCAUAAGCUCAGUGUAGAAAUCUAUGGCUGGAGAGAAGAUAAAAUUAUUAAGGCCUCUACUGAGGGAAAAUUGAGGGCCAUCUUACUGCUUGGUGGCAGCUGAUUGCCAGCUAGCCCUGUGUAGCUUCAGAUCAGCCACAUCCCAUAAUGCCUUCUGACAUGCCAAGAGGCAAAAAGGGUGAUGGAGGGCAAGGAGGCAGCUGGGAAGUUUGGCUUAGAAGCCAUAUCAUGGAGUGAAGAACCCAAAUAAGGGGGAAAAGGAGUGAGAAAAACAUGGGAAAGAAAUUAGAGAGGUAUGAGGAGCAGUGUGUGCUCUCUGGGAUGUGCCAGGGAACAGCAACAAGGAGAUGGACUAUUGCAGUGAGACUGUGCAGGGGCAUGGGUCACAAAUCCCCUGCUCCUCAUGGAACACUUAUUUCAGUGGUGGUGCACCCAUUUCCAUUGCCUCAUUAGCUUCUACCUGAGUUCAAAGCCCAAAAGCUAUCCAUGUCCCUGCUGCUUUUAAACAAACUGUUUCUGUAGCCCUGUCCAUGGCUCCUGGGAGGAAUUCCUGAGUGCUACCAGUGCUCCUCAGAAUCCUCUCCCCUGCAGUGGGCACCUUCUUGGCAUCUGAAAACAGUUGUGAAAAUGAUGGUGGGUUUUUUUGCAUUCAGAAUGUUUAUAAUAUAUUUGUCUCCUUCUCAUACUCCCAUAUCUCACUCCAGUGUUUCUGUAGCUUGCCCCUUUGUCCAAGCCAGCUGAAAGCUAUUAGAAUUGUUAAGCAAUUCAGAACCAAUUACUGUUACACAUAAAGCUGCUUUCCCACUGCCAUCUUCAUUAGUUUUGUUAGCAUUUGCAGCUACCAGGGACAGAACAACAAAGGGUCUAAAUCAGUUGUCUUCCAUAUUUCCAGAGUUUAAAAUAUAGGAGGGCUAUAAACUGCUCCCUUGUGCACUUAAAUGAUUAUUAUUUUUUUUUAUUAGCAACCACUCCAAAGGUUCACUCAGGGCCAGCAGUUGUGGUAAAGGCUUGCCUUACUGCCUGAGCUCUUGUCCACUGGCCUUCUGCAAGGCAAAUCUUUGCCCUCAGCUUGCUUGCUGCAGCGUCUCUGAAAGGUCCCAAUCUUGGGAAUAACCUUAAUGCUUUCAAGACAAUAUUUCAUAUUCAAGUUUUGCCCACAGUUCCCCAGCUGGAAUACAGCUGGUACAAAUGCUGUGGUGAAAGGGGCAUAAAGUGCAGUGGGGUGGCUCUGUGAUAAGUGUCACUAAUAUUUCUAGUAGAUGCUUGUCAUGGUUCCUAGGAGGUAAAGGAGGCAGGAGAAGCGUCUUCUGGGUUAGAAAACAUGAGGAGCGAGGAUGGGGACUUCACAGGUAGCUGAAAUGGCAGCUGUCGAGGUGCAGGGUAGGUCCUGGUUGGGUGCCUGGGAGCAGCACUGCUCUGAAUCACAGCCAGGGACUGUUUGUUUAAGUUGCAGUUUGAAGUUGGCAGAGGGAAGCUGUGGGUAAAGCUCCUUUGUUGAGAUGCUGGCUCAAGGUCUGCCUGGACCAGGGCAGAGGAAAGAGCUGGCCAGGGAAGCUGGGCAGCCUUUAACCCCUCUGUCAGGCCAUGACCUAGAGCCGACAGGAAUCACCUCUGCUCUUCAGCACUAUAAAGCAGGGGCAAGGUGAGAUCUGUGGCCCCAAGGGAGCUGUUAAUUCCCAUGUGUGUUCAUCUGAACCGCUCUUGCUAGAAAUCAAGAGGAUAGGAUGCAUUGUGCUUUAAGGGCCUGUUAUUACUGAAACUUGAAGAGCAGUGUUUCCUGUUUGUCCCUUUUGCCCACCACUGCUCUCCCAGUGCAGCAGGGACAACUCAGGUUGGCACCUCUCAGAACUUUUCCAUGUGAACAUUAAGCCCAUGGUUUAAGACUUCCUCACCUACCAACCUCUCCAUCCAUCCACACUGAGUUUGCUGGUGGGAACCACGGCUGUGCCCCCACAGCCAGCAAAGGACAGUUGGAGGUAGGAUAAGUUACAGUUCAAGAUUAUAAUUGAUCUUUAAAGUGCACGUUUAAUGCUGCUAACCCACUUCAAAGAGAAGCGGUACCUUCCAACCACCCUCCUCCGUAACAUCUGACAGCUUUAUGCACUGUUAUUUUCCCCAGAGAUUCGUUCUACAGCUUUAUAGAUGUGCUGAGCAUCUUAAACCUCCUGGAUUUCCAGGGUCUCCCAGUCUUCAGCUAUCAGCUGCCUGAAACACAGCUUGACCUACUGGCUUGACUCCCGUACCCUGUUUUGAUGGAUCUGUUCAGCUUGUCCCCAAUGGCUUGGAUACAGUGGUUCUUCCUAAUAUUGGAGCUGGCCAGUAAGGAAGCACCAGACCUGACAGCUGUGGGCACUGUGGCCAUGAUGAUGUAAAACAAAGGCUUUUCUGUUUCAGAGGUUGCCAGGCUGUCAAUCUUUGGGCAGAGAAAGGAUCGCUCACUGGUUCCUUCCCCUGCUGUUCCUUAAAUGAAUACAAUACUCCAUUUUAAAUGUGCAAAACUUACCUUCCCCCACUACAAUUGAGCAUCUGGGAACUUAAAAACAAACUCCCCUAGUAAAUAAAAAGAAGCAGCUUGAUUAGUUUUACGGCAGCAAAAGUGGGUUAAUCGCUAAAACUGCUUCUUAUGCUGUCAUGGUUUAGAUAAAUGGGUUUAGCACAGCAAGCAGCCGAGGGCACGCAUUAGUGGCUCCUUCUGCAGCAGAGGAGGGGAGCAUGCUCAGCGGAUCACCCCUCGGAGGCACCAGCCUGCUGCCUGUGAAGCUGGUGGCAGACUUCCCGCUGACUUCAGUGGAGCUGAGAUUGUGCUGUAAAUAAAUAUAUCUGCUUCCAAAGGGUACAAGAGACAGAUCAAACACAAGCAAGCUUUUCUUGUAUCUAGUAAGAUCUUUUCCCUCUAUUUCCUCCAUGGAUUUCUACAGCAUUAAAGUUUCAUUAAAAAGAAAGUGAUUUAAAAUUGCAUUUACCUGGGGCCUUUGACCAUAUGCAGCCAUAUUGCUACAUAAAAAACAUGUGUAUUCUCAGCUCCUAUUGGAAACAAAGCUAUUUGUACUUCAGUUGUGGCAGCUAUAGCACCUGGGUACAGCAGUAUCUGCUCUGGCUCCACCUGUACUAGCCCUAGAUCAAAAGCAUCAGCAACUGGUAGCCAGCACUAGCUGGCUGUUUGCACCCUUGACCCACAGGUAGUUCGGGAUAAUUUUGUUAGUCUGGAUGCUGGGCUUGGACUAUGUUAAAUGAGGUAGUCUGCACUUGUUCACACAGCAGUCGUAGCAAGAAAAAGGUAUAACAGCCCUGGGGAAAGUGAAGUCAGAGGAAUAUGGGUAUCACCUCCCAGGCAAGAGGGAAAACGUGCAAAGGCUUGGUGUAAUCAUUGGAGUCUAGAGCUUGGAUAAAACCCCGGGAGGCAAACUUGGAAAUAUAGAACAUUAUGAGCUUUUUUGAUGUCCAACCUAUUGUAGGCAUUAGUUAAAGCUGUGGUACGGUUUGGUAAGUUGGUAAAUUAUGGGUAACCAAAUAUUUGGAAGUAUGAUAUUCCAUUAGCAUAUUGCUACAAGCCCUUCAAAAGCAGCUUUAUGAGGUAGCAAGAAAAUGCAAGAUAGAUUUCCACUUCUUUAGUGAAUAACUGUGCCAAAUCCUCCAGAACAAAUACUUGGAUGGAUGAAUAAAGGAUUUGAUUUCUGAAUUUCAUGUGCAACAGUGGCAUUCACUCCUGCACAACAGUGUCCAUAUUCAUGUGCCUUACAAACACAGCAGAAACUCAUUACAUUUUGGUGCUUAUUGGUUUUGGUACUGGCUUCUGUUAUUUAUCCAUUGCUCUGGCAAACUCUCACUUAAAGACAACUAAGAUGCACAAAAUUAUUAAGUUAUGAUUCUCAUCUCUUGUCACUUCACCACCGACAGCCCCUUUCCUACAACAUGCUGCUCACUUGAGAGGUUUUCCAACUAACCCUGGAGAUCUCACCAAGUCUGGACGGGUGGCUGUCAGACAGCCACACUGUCUUCUCCUUCUUCACAGAAAGCAAUAAAUGAAAUCUCUACUUUAUUGACUGUAGCAAACAAGCAAUUUCAGGUGUGUGUGAAAGAGAAAAGCCAUUUGGCGUGCUCUUUUGCUUCAGCAAAAAGCUUUCACUGCAGCUGCAACCCUCAGCUCCUCUCCUGAGCCCUGCACAGCUCUUCCCUUUUCCCCUCCUCUCGCAGUACUGGUGCUGAGCAGGGAGAUGCUGCAUAUAUCUGCUGUCAGAGCAGCUCUCCCGGCUGGUGGGAACUGACAGAUGGUUGCUCUGAAAUAUUUCCAAAAGAGGGAAAAACCAAAAACCUCCCAACCCACUGCAAGUCUCUUGUUAUGGCUGCAUUGGUAAGGCAAUGCACUUGAAUGAACUAGGGGAAGCAAAUGACGUAAAGGGAGGGGUUAGGUUAAAACAGAUCUCAAAUCAGAGUCCUUGAGGCAAAUUUUCAUGUAAUCUAAGUUUCCAUUCUGUUCCCUGAUUGCUCAGCUGUUGCUCAUUUAUGAGGGGAGCAGACCCAAGCAAAGGUGAAGCAGAAAAGCCUUGGGAAUUUUUCUAGGAAUACAUGUUUCUCUUUCAGCCAUGACAUUCAGAUUUAUGAUUUCUUCAUUUGCCAUUUGCUUGAAAGGAGGCAGCAUGUCCUAGCAGUUGGCACAGGAAAUGGGGAGACCUUGUUUCUGUGCUUGAAUUUCUCACUAUUUAAUUGCACAAAUGCUGGUAACACUGUUAAACACCUUGGGUGUCACAGGGAUUCUUGACCAAGUGGCCCUGGGACAGCAUCACACUUCCAACACCUUUCAGAAAUGCAGGUGAGAGAAACAUAGCUGCAAGCACCAGGGUAAAGGGGACCUGUAACAAACCUGGUGCCUCCCUACCUUCCCAGUCUUGCACACGAAGUGGAAGGCAGGGGCUUGAGGCAGGCUGUGGGAAUUGUGAUGUCCCCGUGAAGUGGCAUGAUAAAGCCUUCAGUAGAGGUUGGGCAAUAAAUACAUUGUCAGGGCCAGUAGCACCAAUCUGCUCUCUCUGUAAGUAACAUUUGUGCUCAAUGAUACACGUGAAUUCCUGCUAAGGCUACAUGUACUGGUCAAAAAAGGCCCCCACACAAGUUUCCCAGCAAACACUCCAUGCACCAACCCUCUCCCUCCCACCUCCAUCAUUCUGUAGGUAAACCUUCAGGAUAAGGGAGGAAUGGCAAAGAAAGAGCAUGACCCUCCACCAUUCCUACUCAAACCAGCUCUUCUUCCACAUGCUCAUCCUCCUCUUCUCCCCAUCUCUCUCCCAUACUGUUGAUUUAAUACCCUGGCAUCUGUACUUGCCUGCUUUCUGUAACAUACUCCAUGCACAAUUCCACACUACAUCAUGGAUUCCUCUAGGAAUACAUCUUUUGCUGGAGCAUGAUUUUAUAGAGAAUGUAGGGUGGCCCAGGUGAGGAAUGAUGUGUGCAGCACCCACAUCCAGGUCAAUCAUCCCAAGAGAAGCUCUUGAUGAAAUCAAUACUGACUUUAAUUGCCGCACCAAUCGCAAGCUCUUCUGAGAAACAGGUUCUGGCCCCAGUUCUUCACUGCCUCCUGUUUUUGGGCAAGCAAAUGGGUGCAGCUCAGAGUAUUGCACGACAUUCAUUCCAUCCUGUGAGUGUAGUUGCAGCAGCUGCCACUCUGCUCACAGCUGUGCAAACUGUGCAUGAUGUGCAACAGGAGGGAUGAAGUGUGUAUACUGCAGUGGAGGAUCAGGUUUGGGGCUUUGAGAUCCUCCAGCACACCUGCAAUACUGCCUGCUGGCAACCUGGUGCUGAUCUGGGCUAGCAGGACAGGUCAGGGCCACAUGGGAAUGUGACACUGGUCCUUGUGGGUAGGAGCACUUAGCAGCUGACCCAGCUGCAGGUAAGUGGGAGUCUGGGAAGCAUCUGUCAGAGCUGCAGGACUGCUGCAGGAGUAAGACUAUUGCUGCUCUCAAUUAGCCUUAGUAUUGUGGUGAAGCAUCCUUACCCUGUCCACAUUCCUGCUGCUUUCCCCAUCUCCUCUAUGCUUGUGCCUUUCCGUGUAUUCAAGACUCCCCCAGCACUCUCCACGGCCUCAGGUUAACCCCUGCACUGCCACAAUCCCUAGAUUGCUAAUGAAAGAGGAGCUUUAAAGACUCCAUGUCCCUACUGAGUGCUUUGCCUUCCAGUAUCUCUCAAGUAAUUUGAAGUGGAUAUGGAGCUAUUAUAGCCCAGAAAAAAGGUUGUUAGCAGGAAAGGGGAGUUGAAGGAGAAAAUAUCAAAACAUCAUGCCUUUCUAGCCCUGGGAGAUACAGAGAUGUCACAACUCUUUGGGAACAGUAUUAUGCCACUGACAAAAGCUAUUUUAGCUUCUCUUUCUCAUUUUUUAAUGAUAUUAAAUAGCAUUCUCUCUCUCCUCAGGGUACAUUCUGGAUAAUUCAUAUCUCACUGUAAACCAAAAGCAUUUCCACUAAUCUCAGCAAAGACUGACUCAGUGGAGAGUAGGAUUUUUGACCAAGUAAUUAGGGCGUGAAAAAUACAGUGGUCAUGAGGCUUCAAAAUUUUCUUCCAACAUUUUUGCAAUAAUCUCUCUGCAAAGGUAAGCAUGCAGCAAGGGAACCCACUUUAAUAAUUAACUAAAACCAAGAUCCCUCCCCUAUGUAAAAGCUAUGCAGAUACCUAAAUUAAAUAACCAAAGUCAUUCUUAGGGUGGCUACUUUGUUACACUGAUAUUUGUGCUGAUAAAAUCAUGGUCUAUUUGAACAGCUUAUAGUGCUCCUCGUUGGCAGAGGUUUGAUGGUGCCUUCUGAUAACUAACAACACAAAAUAGCAGACUGCUCAGUUUUUAGUCAGGUUACCAUUUGAAAAAAGGCUUAUGCAACAACAUAGUCUUUCACCCACAUCCUUCUUCUCCCAGUCCUAUCACUGUUGGCUGUAUCACCCAAAUUUAAACCCAUUGACAGGGGAGGGAAAUAGAGACCUGAAGUGUAUUGAAUGCCCGCAUAUUUCAUUAUACGAGUGGAGAAGAUAAAUGCUUCUAAGGACCUCAGCUUGCUGCACAGAGUGAAGGGAAGGGUGGGAUGACCCUUCCUAAACCUAGAAGAGCCCAUGCUGAAACUCUGCACGUACAUGAACCCUUGGGAACAACGUGUCUGUGGUUUCAUCACUUGAGCUUUGACAUCUCUGUGCAUGGCUUUCUUCCCAUCCCAUCUAACUUAUUAGUUGAGAAGGCAUCCUCCUAAUGUGGGCUAUUAUCUCUAUCAUUUCCACAGGUCACUAGUGGGACCAUGGGCGAGUCCAUUCAUCUGGGUCUCUAUUCCCCCACUUUCCUCCCCCUUCAGAGCAGCAUUAACAGCCCUUUCCUCCCUUUGCUAACCCAGAGCUACGAGAAGCAUAAACACUGUUAACAUUGUGAGCAACUCUCAUUUACCACCUCUGUUCACUCCAAUCCCAAAUAUAUUUCUAUGCUUACAGCAGAAAUACUCCAAAUACUCUUUCACUGUAAGGCCCCUCUUACAAGACAAAGUAUCUGAACCAGCGUGCACAUCCCUGCACAGACCACGUUGUCCAAGCAGGUACAUGCAUAUGUUAUGGGCCUUUGGGGACCUAUCAUUUACAGAGCAAGUACAUUUUAUAUGAUGCUUACACAUGUCAGCACUUCACACUUCCUCCCCCCACCCCUCCACAUUAGUUAGCUUGGGUUGGUAAUUCACCAUUGCUUUGACAUCUGGCAGUACAAUCAAAGCAGAAUCUCACUUACGGAGGCUGCAAGGCAAGCAAAUCUGUGUUUCCUUACGGCUUUGUCACCUCAUCAUGUUUCACAGCAGAAAGUUCAUUGCUGCCCCUGUGACAAGGCUUUUCUGCUACUGGAGGGGUGGUUUCACGUGAAGACUGCUCUGGUAGCAAAGCCAGUCUCAGAGGUUUGCCCAAGCUGAAACCCCCACUUGCAGAUGCUUCAUCCCAUUCAGGUGUGCUUAGUUUUUUUCUGUGGUUAUGCCCUCAAACUUUUUUUAAGUGGAUUUGCUUCUGGGAAACUAAUGUAGCAUGUCAUAGAGAUUCAACUACUCUUGCCAAACAAAUAAGAAUACCUGUAAUACUGUGCUAUAAAAUACUAAAGAAUACAGUGAAUCCUGGACUUUAAAACUGAUUAGCCCUCCCUACUCUCAAAAAAAAAAAGGAAAUGUGAUGUGUCAUUUAGUAUUUUUUGGACGGAAAAGAGACUGAUCCAGCUUCUGCUAAAUUAGGGUUUAUUCCUAUGCUUCCUACUAAAGUAUAUUUAUUUCCAGACCAGAAUGCGCACACGGGAACUUACUCUGCCUAGCACAGAAUGAACAAGAGGGACAGGAGAGGGUCUAACAAGGACUAAGCUCAACUCUUCCCACUGUGCCCAUUAAGUGGCAGAAGACACAGUUGUCCACUAGCACAUCCAUAUCUGACCCUGCCUCAGGAGCUCUCCUGGUCAGUGCCCCCAGACAGAUGUUGACAGAAAUACAAGAAAGUCAGUGGGAGAAUGAGGACAAGUGUAAAAGCAGUUCUGUAUCUCACAGGUGACCUGUUGUGAUCUACCACACCUUUUGUUAAAAAUGAAAUAGUUAUUUCAGCAAUAGCUGCUCUAUCACAUUGUAUGAAGAAAAAAAAAGCCAACAAAAACCCCAAAAAAACUUGAAAUUAUAUCAGAAAAACAAAGCUAAACAAAUCUUAAAUUUCCUCCAUUACCAGUCUC